rnacentral:lncRNA from 1 species
GAGAUAUAAGCCAAAAACUGCAUUUGAUCCCUAUGUUCUAUUUUAAGUAACAGCGGCCAUGUUUUUUGACGGAUCAAAAAUCGAAGCACAAACUUUGUGCAAGAUAAUCUAAGGAACAAUCAUGCUAAGUUUCAUCCAAAUCCAUUCAGUAGUUUCAGAGGAGAAGAUGUUUGAAAAAUUGUUAACGACGACAGACGACGAUGACGGACGCCAAGUGAUGAGAAAAGCUCACAUUUCCUUUUAGGAAAGGUGAGCUAAAAAAAGGGGUGGGGG